AUUGAACGCUAGCGGGAUGCUUUACACAUGCAAGUCGAACGGCAGCGCGGACUUCGGUCUGGCGGCGAGUGGCGAACGGGUGAGUAAUGUAUCGGAACGUGCCCAGUAGCGGGGGAUAACUACGCGAAAGCGUAGCUAAUACCGCAUACGCCCUACGGGGGAAAGCAGGGGAUCGUAAGACCUUGCACUAUUGGAGCGGCCGAUACCGGAUUAGCUAGUUGGUGAGGUAACGGCUCACCAAGGCGACGAUCCGUAGCUGGUUUGAGAGGACGACCAGCCACACUGGGACUGAGACACGGCCCAGACUCCUACGGGAGGCAGCAGUGGGGAAUUUUGGACAAAGGGGGCAACCCUGAUCCAGCCAUCCCGCGUGUGCGAUGAAGGCCUUCGGGUUGUAAAGCACUUUUGGCAGGAAAGAAACGUCGCGGGCUAAUACCCCGUGGAACUGACGGUACCUGCAGAAUAAGCACCGGCUAACUACGUG
rnacentral:rRNA from 1 species